GAGAGGGUCUCUCGGCCCCCCCAGGACCUGACGUCGGCGCUGACCCGUAAGAUCACGCUGAAGACCCCGCUCAUCUCGUCCCCCAUGGACACCGUCACCGAGUCCGAUAUGGCCAUCGCCAUGGCGGUGAGCUUUUUUUUUGGGGGGGGGGCACCCCGGGAUUUUGGGGGGCUGGGGGGGUGGGUGUGGGGUCAGGGUGUACGUCACGGUAUGGGUUGGGGUGUGGGGUUGGGGGGCUCGCGCCUGUGUGGGGUUGGGGUGCUCACCCCUGUGUUAUUUUGGGGGAUACGGAUUUGGGGUAACCAACACAUCUGGUUUGGGGUGCGCAUUUGGGGUGCCCACCCCUAUGUGGGUUUGGGGUGUAGGGUUAGGGUGCCCAUCACGUUAUGGGUUGGGGUGUGGGAUUGGGGUGCUCACCCCUGUGUGGGGUUGGGGUGCUCACCCCUGUGUUAUUUUGGGGGAUACAGAUUUGGGGUGCCCACCCCAUCUUAUUGGGGGUGCGCAUUUGGGGUGCCCACCCCUAUGUGGGUUUGGGGUGUAGGGUUAGGGUCCCCAUCACAUUAUGGUUUGGGGGUUUGGGGUUGGGGUGCUUGCACCUCUGUGGGGUCAGGGUGCUCACCACUGUGUUAUUUUGGGGGAUACGGAUUUGGGGUAACCAACACAUCUGGUUUGGGGGUGCGCAUUUGGGGUGCACACCCUGUGCAGGUUUGGGGUAUAGGGUUAGGGUCCCCAUCACAUUAUGGUUUGGGGUGCCCAUCCCUGUAUAGAGUUGGGGUGUUCACCCUUGUAUGGGGUUGGGGUAGCCACCCCUGUGUUAUUUUGGGGGAUACAGAUUUGGGGUAACCAACACAUCUGGUUUGGGGGUGUGCAUUUGGGGUGCCCACCCCUAUGUGGGUUUGGGGUGUAGGGUUAGGGUGCCCAUCACGUUAUGGGUUGGGGUGUGGGGUUGGGGUGCUUGCGCCUGUGUGGGGUCAGGGUGCCCACCCCUGUGUUAUUUGGAGGGUUAUAGAUUUGGGGUGCCCACCCCAUCUUAUUGGGGGUGCGCAUUUGGGGUGCUCACCCUGUGCAGGUUUGGGGUGUGGGGUCAGGGUGCCCAUCAUGGUAUGGUUUGGGGGUGUGGGGUUGGGGUGCUCGCACCUGUGUGGGGUCGGGGUGCUCGCCCCUGUGUUAUUUUGGGGGAUACAGAUUUGGGGUUACAGCCCAUCUGGUUUGGGGUGCACAUUUGGGGUGCCCACCCCUAUGUGGGUUUGGGGUAUAGGGUAAGGUCCCCAUCACAUUAUGGUUUGGGCGUGUGGGGUUGGGGUGCUUGCACCUGUGUGGGGUUGGGGUACCCACCCCUGUGUUAUUUUCGGGGAUACAGAUUUGGGGUAACCAACACAUCUGGUUUGGGGUGCGCAUUUGGGGUGCCCACCCCUGUGCAGGAUUGGGGUGUGGGGUCGGGGUGCCCAUCACUUUAUGGUUUU
rnacentral:lncRNA from 1 species